rnacentral:rRNA from 1 species
GGGCUGCAGUAUUUUGACUGUACAAAGGUAGCAUAAUCAAUAGUCUCUUAAUUGGUGACUUGUAUGAAAGAUUGGAUGAGAUAUAUACUGUCUCUAAUUAAUUUAUUGAAAUUAAUUUUUUAGUAAAAAAGCUAAAAUAAUUUUAAAAGACGAGAAGACCCUAUAGAGUUUAAUAAUUUAUUUAAUUAUUAUUAAUAUAUAAUUUUUAAAAUUAAAAUUAAUGGAAUUAUUUUGUUGGGGUGAUAAAAAAAUUAAAUUAACUUUUUUUAAUUGUUGACAUUAAUUUAUGAAUAAAUGAUCCAUUUUUAGUGAUUAAAAGAAAAAAUUACCUUAGGGAUAACAGCGUAAUUUUUUUUUUUAGUUCAAAUAGGAAAAAAAGUUUGCGACCUCGAUGUUGGAUUAA